CAUAUCCAAGUCAUUCCCGGUCGGCGAUUUCUCCUCUAGCCCUAAGUGUAACUGAGGCUUGACUCCAAGAUCGACACAAGUCUUCGAUCACGUCGCUUGACGUUUCCUUCUUUCUUCGUAGGAUUGAUGAUGCACGUUGCUGCUUGUUUUGCAAUCCCGUGCCAUCUUACCAAUUAAUGUACUCCCAUUGUAGUAUGGGCCGAGACUGAAUGAUAUAUAUAAAGAAGUGCCAUUUGUUCAUGAUUGCAAAAUUCGUUUGUGAGAUUUCAAUUAACGAGGUGCUGGACAGUGAAUGUGUUAUCUGGUCAGAGAAGGCAUGAUGGUAUUGUGGCACAAAAGAAACUGUCACUUAAUUAGCUCUUAGCGUCAUCUUAGAUAUAAUUGGAUUUGUUUUCGAUCUUGAAGAUAGCUUACCACAUUUCGCAUGUGGUAUCUUUUUUUU
rnacentral:lncRNA from 1 species